UGGCUGAGGCGCACCCAGGAGGAUUGGUUGCUGUGGCGGCCCAGCCGUGGAGGCCAGAGGUGGUGGGCCCGGCCCAGCCAUGGAGCCAGGCUAAGUCUUUGCGAUUCCUGGUUCAAAUAAAAUCCUGGAUUACUCCAGCAUCCCAUGGCAGCACACAGAUAUCAGAAUAAUACAGGUGACCAAGGGGACAAUGUGCCAUGCAAAAACAACAACAACUCUGCAAGUACCCUAGAGGGCGAAUGAGGUUAGCCUUUUGAACAGCAUCUGUUUAAGUGCCAUUCAGCUGUGGAAGCAGAAACAGCUCUGGAUUUCCCUCAUACAUACACAGGAAGAAUUUCACUAGAGGAGAAACCUCUUCUCCAUACAUUAAUGUAUGAGGAGCAAUUGAGCCCUUCUCCCUGGGCACUGGAUGAAAAGACCCCACAAAACAGAAAGUCAGACUCUACUCAUAUCCCUAGAGAGCGUCUUAAUGUAUCAAAAAAGCAAGCUGAACACCAUGGCACUCUUACCCCUGGACUUCACGGCCAGAGCCUCCACACCCCCUGGGAACCCCCAAAUCUUCUUUAGGUGGUGUGGCUGCUGCUGGCCUGUACUGUGCCCAGGGUGAUUAUGACCUGUGCUGGGUGCUUUAGAGACAAAGGGGGGAGGGGGGAAAGAAAUAUGUGGGAUGGGUAUAUGUUGAGUUGCUCGUUGAAAUAUCUGCUACGGCAUAUUUGCAUAAAUAUACUCCAUGUGUUAAAAAUACUGUGUUUGUCACUGUGUGUGUGGGGGGGGGGUG